UACGGAGGGUGCAAGCGUUAUCCGGAUUUACUGGGGUUUAAAGGGUGCGUAGGUGGGUUGGUAAGUCAGUGGUGAAAUACUUUCGCUUAACGAAGGAACUGCCAUUGAUACUACCAGUCUUGAAUGUAGUGGAGGUAGGCGGAAUGCGUCAUGUAGCGGUGAAAUGCUUAGAUAUGACGCAGAACACCAAUUGCGAAGGCAGCUUGCUACACUACUAUUGACACUGAGGCACGAAAGCGUGGGGAUCAAACAGG
rnacentral:rRNA from 1 species